rnacentral:snoRNA from 1 species
GACAGUGAUGUAAUGAUCCUAUUCCAUUGCUGAGCAAUUGCAGUGUGGAAGCUUCUUGACUGAUGUU